rnacentral:piRNA from 1 species
UCCAUCUCCUGAAAGUACGUU